AAUGCGGUGGUUUUGUUAAUGUGACCUAGUCUCCCUCGACGUCACUGCACCGGAGCCGUUACAGAUUCAGCACCUUCUUUACGAACGAUUUUAUGAAAAGUAUAAUUCAGGCCUGUACAAAUGGAGAAGCAGGUUGUGGAUGGGUUGAGGGAGGUCUUCCAGUCGGGCAGAUCCAGACCCCUGCAGUACAGGAAACAGCAGCUCAGAGCCCUGCACAGGCUCAUCACUGAACACCAAGCAGACAUUGAACAAUCUCUAAAACAAGACCUCAACAGGAGUUCGUAUAACACUUCACUCUUUGAGCUGAUCGGCAUUGAGAGUGACAUCAAGUUGGCAGAGAGUGACAUGGCAGACUGGGCAGCUCCUCGGCACGUGAAGAAGAAUCUCAACAGCGCACUUGAUGAUGUUUACAUAAAGCCUGAACCUUUGGGUGUUGUGCUGAUAAUAGGAACCUGGAACUACCCUUGGGCCAUGAUCCUGCAGCCCCUCGUCGGAGCCAUUGCAGCUGGCAAUGCCGCUGUGGUGAAACCAUCAGAGCUGAGUGAGCACUCUGCUAGACUUAUGAAAGAACUGCUUCCUCUUUAUCUAGAUAAGGAGAUGUAUCAAGUGGUGACAGGAGGGGUUCCAGAGACCCAGGAGCUGCUGAAGCAGCGUUUCGACCACAUCUUCUACACUGGAAGCAGCGCUGUGGGGAAACUGGUUAUGGAAGCAGCAGCUCAUCAUCUCACACCAGUGACUCUAGAACUGGGUGGGAAAAGCCCUUGUUAUAUUGACAAGAACUGUGACAUUGCCGUGGCAUGCCGACGAAUAACCUGGGGGAAGUUUGCAAAUUGUGGUCAGACAUGCAUUGCACCUGACUACAUUCUGUGUGAGCCAAGCAUCCAGGAUAGGAUAGUUAAAGAGAUUCAAAAAACACUGCAGGAGUUCUACCAAGAGGACCCUAAAAGCUCUCCAGAUUAUUGCAGAAUCAUUAACACACGUCACUUUGACAGAGUAUUAGCUCUGAUGAACGAAUGUACAAUUGCUCUUGGAGGAAAGAGUGAUCGCUCAGAGUGUUACAUAGGUCCUACAGUCCUAAAGGAUGUUUUGCCCCAUUUCAAAAUCAUGCAAGAAGAAAUCUUUGGACCGCUGCUGCCAAUUCUCACUGUUAAUGGCUUGAGUGAGGCCAUCAAUUUUAUCAACACAAGGGAAAAGCCUUUGGCGCUCUAUGUGUUUUCCUCUGAUAAAACGGUGAUCAAACGAAUGUUAACAGAAACCACCAGUGGAGGAGUUACUGUUAAUGAUGUCUUGAUGCAUUAUACUGUCGAUACCUUGCCUUUUGGAGGUGUGGGAAACAGUGGAAUGGGCAGAUAUCAUGGGAGACACACGUUUGACCAGCUGAGUCACCAUCGUUCCUGCCUCAUCAAGUCUUUUGCUAUGGAGAGUUUAAAUGACGCCCGUUACCCUCCACUAACAGCAGCCCGACUGAGCAAGGCCAAGUUUUUCAUGCAGCAUCACUUGUGCAGUUGUAGUGGCGUGUGUGUGUGGGCUGUCAUCGCCACCAUAUUGGCAAUUGGUCUGCUUGUUGGCUUAAUAGUUGUGCUGAUUCAGGUAAAAGGUUUUACUGCUUGUACCAUGGCAUUGUUGAAUUCUUGAUUCUUAUAUGUUAACACACGUUCACGGGUGUUCAUUACUGUUUGAAUUACACCUACAUUAUAUUAGAAGCAUUUCUAAGCAAUUAGAUAUUUAUUCAGGGGAGGUUGGAGGCCUGAAAACGCAAACUUUGGAAAACGGGAUUCAAAAGUGCAAGUUUUUGUCAAUGAUACCGUUCUCGUCUCUGUGUAAACUACAAAAAAAAACAUGAAUUUGUGCGCAUGCGUAUUACAGGGCGUGUUCAGUCUAUAAGUGCGUGGUGUUUCUUUACAAAUUGACAUCGCCAACUACUGGCCUGGCAGAAUAAUUAGUCAUUUUCGCCGAUCCGUGUGAACGCUAGAUCGAGGGGACAACGUUGUCGUCUGUGAGCGAAAAACGCAAAGGAAAACUUUUUAGUACAUCGUUGUUGUGUAGGCUAGGCCUAAAUGUACCCUUAUUAUUGAAAAUCUAAUAGACAUCCAUAGU